rnacentral:tRNA from 1 species
AGCAGCGUGGCUCAGUGGAAAGGUCUUGGGCUUGGGAGUCAGAGGUUGUGGGUUCUAAUCCCACUUCUGCCA